GCUGACCAGUAGUCCAACCCCAAUACAAUUAUCUCUUAAUACACAAAACAAACCAUUUGACCAAUCAAGUAGAUGCGAUCGAACACCACACCCGGAACACAAACACAACACCGCAAGGGAAAAAAUUAAGCGUGAAACAGCAAAGACAAACCCUUGUACCUUUUGCAUCAUGGUUUAGCAAGAACUCACAGACAAGAAGAACCAAAGCCUACAAACCCGAAACCAGAUGAGCUACUUCAUAGCAGCCUCCAGGGCAUAUCCUCCUCUGUAGCAAAAGAGCGGAAAGACUAUAAAGUAGAAGUGAAAUGCCUAUCGAAUCUGGAGAUAGCUGGCUACCCCAAAAAGGAUUUAAGUCCCACUUUAGACCCCCCCCCACCGCACUCCCUAGUCAUCUAAAGACACUCAAUAAAGGUACAACUUUAUUGAAACAGGAUACAACCUGAAUUUGAGAGCAUACCUCCUCCCACCCCCCAGUAGGCCCUAAAGCAGCCACCUAAAAAAAUAUCGUUUAAGAAUGAUCAAAACAAUCCCUGCCCCCUCCCCCCCCUCCAAAAAAACUAAGGGUUAAUUUAUAACCAUAAAUAAGCCUCUGCUAAAACUAUUAAUAAGAAUACUUCUCUAAACGCACAACCUUUUACUAGAAACAGAAAGCCUGCUAGUAAUUAACAGACCCCAAAAGGAAAUAAACAACACCAUACACACCCUCACCACCAACUGUAGCCCCAACACAGGUGUGCCACUUAAGGAAAGAGAAAAAGCUACAAAAGGAACUCGGCAACCUACAGCUCCAACUGUUUACCAAAAACAUAACCUUUAGCCAAUCUAAUAUUAAAGGCAACGCCUGCCCAGUGAAACUAUUCAACGGCCGCGGUACCCUAACCGUGCAAAGGUAGCGUAAUCAUUUGUCUAUUAAUUGUAGACCAGUAUGAAAGGCAACAUGAGAGCCAAACUGUCUCUUGCAGCUACUCAAUUAAACUGAUCUUUUAGUCCAAAAGCUAAAAUACCCAUAUAAGACCAGAAGACCCUGUGAAGCUUAAACUAAUCCGUUAAAUCGAAUAACGGUCACUUUCGGUUGGGGCGACCUUGGAACAAAAAAGAACUUCCAAUACAAUGAUAUCCAUCAUACCAAGGCUGACAAGCCACAAUACGACCCAGUCUACUGACUAAUGAACCAAGUUACUCCAGGGAUAACAGCGCCAUCUUCUUCAAGAGCCCAUAUCAAAAAGAAGGUUUACGACCUCGAUGUUGGAUCAGGACAUCCUGGUGGUGCAGCCGCUACCAAGGGUUCGUUUGUUCAAC
rnacentral:rRNA from 1 species